rnacentral:rRNA from 1 species
UUGAAGGGUUUGAUCCUGGCUCAGAAUGAACGUUGUCGGCGUGGAUUAGGCAUGCAAGUCGAGCGACAAGCUCAGACGGAUCCCUUCGGGGUGAAGACUGAGUGGAGGAGCGGCAAACGGGGUAGUUAGGCGCAGGUACGUACCCUCAGGUCGGGGAUAGCCAUGGGAAACUGUGGGUAAUACCCGAUAAUCCGGUAACGGCAAAGGUGUGAUUCCGCCGGAGGAGCGGUCUGCGUGGUAUUAGCUUGUUGGUGAGGUAAUGGCUCACCAAGGCGAAGAUGCCUAGGGGGUGUGAGAGCAUGGCCCCCACCACUGGGACUGAGACACUGCCCAGACAUCUACGGAUGGCUGCAGUCGAGAAUCUUUGGCAAUGCACGCAAGUGUGACCAAGCGACGCCGAGUGCUGGAUGAAGGCCUUCGGGUUGUAAACAGCUGUCAGAGGGGAUGAAAUUGUUGGGGGCUAUCCCCCUUCAUUGACAAAGCCUCAGAGGAAGCGCGGGCUAAGUUCGUGCCAGCAGCCGCGGUAAUACGAAGGGGGCUAGCGUUGUUCGGAAUUACUGGGCGUAAAGCGCGCGUAGGUGGUUAGGUAAGCGAGAUGUGAAAGCCCCGGGCUUAACCUGGGAACGGCAUUUCGAACUGUCUGACUAGAGUGUGGUAGAGGGUAGUGGAAUUUCCUGUGUAGCGGUGAAAUGCGUAGAUAUAGGAAGGAACACCAGUGGCGAAGGCGGCUACCUGGACCAACACUGACACUGAGGUGCGAAAGCGUGGGGAGCAAACAGGAUUAGAUACCCUGGUAGUCCACGCCGUAAACGAUGGAUACUAGCUGUCCGGCCUUCGGGCUGGGUGGCCAAGCGAAAGUGAUAAGUAUCCCACCUGGGGAGUACGUUCGCAAGAAUGAAACUCAAAGGAAUUGACGGGGGCCCGCACAAGCGGUGGAGCAUGUGGUUUAAUUCGAUGAUACGCGAGGAACCUUACCAGGGCUUAAAUGCAUUCGGACAGGUGUGGAAACACGCUUUUCUUCGGACCGUUUGCAAGGUGCUGCAUGGUUGUCGUCAGCUCGUGCCGUGAGGUGUCAGGUUAAGUCCUAUAACGAGCGCAACCCCUGUCGUUAGUUGCCAGCAUGUAAAGAUGGGAACUCUAACGAGACUGCCGGUGCAAACCGCGAGGAAGGUGGGGAUGACGUCAAAUCAUCACGGCCCUUACGUCCUGGGCUACACACGUGCUACAAUGGCCGGUACAGAGGGCAGCCACACCGUAAGGUGGAGCGAAUCCUUAAAACCGGUCUCAGUUCGGAUCGGGGUCUGCAACUCGACCCCGUGAAGCUGGAAUCGCUAGUAAUCGGAUAUCAGCCAUGAUCCGGUGAAUACGUUCCCGGGCCUUGUACACACCGCCCGUCACACCAUGGGAGUUGGCUUUACCCGAAGGCGGUGCGCUAAAAAA